UCUUUCUCUUGCUGUAUGAAUGUCGUCAUGAGUCUAUCUCUGUAUCUGUUCAUUGUCUGCAAGUACAAAUCCUGAUUGCGGGUCAAUGUAAUCGGAUGCGGAUCCUGAUUGUACAGCCGUAAAUAGUGAAACAUGUCAAGAUUAAAGCCCCCUGAUAUUUUGGAUGAAAACUGAAUCUGCGAGUUUACUAAACAGACGUUACAGUUGUACUCAGAUAACCCUGAUUAACUGAGCAAAAUUUCUAGCUGCUGUGAAUGAACUUUUGCUUGCCUCUGUGGCAUUUGUUUGCCCAGUAUGCAGCAGUCACAAACCUAUCCCACGAUAUCUACAUGAAUUCCUAGGAGCUUUUCAAAGGAGCUAAGCCUAUCAAGGAGAGAUCAUGCCACAGGGCAGACUCACUAACCAGCCUGGAUUUCAAACAUGCCAAUGACAGCUGAUCAUCUGCCAUGAAGGCAGCUCCAACUACCUGCAACAUCAGAAUGAAUCCCAUCAAUGAGCGCCCGGAUCCAAAUUGGGCUGCUUUCUUGACCAACCAGGGAAGAGUGUGGGUUUUUCAAAUGGCUGUCAGAAUUCAUAAAAUUUCCUGCAUUAUU